rnacentral:lncRNA from 1 species
GUUUCUGUACAUGUUGCUCUUUUCAAUUUGAUUCUAUCUCUAAUACCUUUUAAGAAAAAUGCAAUUAAAAGAAAUUGCUUCAAGAGGAUAUAACUCUCAAAUGGGGAUUAUGAAAUCCUAUGCAGCCUCAUAUGGUAAUAUAUCAUGAUGAUAUCUACCUAUUGGUCAAAUAAGGUCAUGAUAUCUUUUAAAACAUUUAGAGGGGGCCAUGUUGAAAAAAAUCAAUAAAAGGGAGAUAACUUCUAAAGGGGAUGAUGAAAUCUACAAAAGUUCAUCUGGUAAAAGAUCAUGAUGAGGUCUAUCGAUGGUUCAAAUUUGGUAUUGAUAACUUCAAUAGAAGCGGUAGGAGGGCGUGCCAAAAAAAGAUUAUUGGUGAAGGUCCCUAGUCUCUACAAAUUCCAGUUCUGGAAAUACAAUUUUUCAAGGGGAAUAACUCCUUAAAAGGGUUGAUAACAAAAUGAUUACAUAUGUUCAUUAACAUUGCCAUCUGUUCCUGUACAUGUUGCCGUUUUCAAAUCGACUUUUAUCUCUUAUACUUUUUGAGAAAAAUGCAAAGCAAAGAAAUUAUUUCAAGGGGAUAUAACUCUCAUAGGGGACAAUGAAAUCCUUUUCAGUUUCAUAUGGUAAUACAUCAUGAUGAGUUCUACCUAUUGUCUAAAUAAGGUCAUGAUAUCUUUAAAAAUAACGAGUGGGGGCCAUGUUGAAAAAAAAUCAAUAAAAGGGAGAUAACUGCUAAAGGGGAUGAUGGAAUCCUACAAAAGUUCGUGAUGAGGUCUAUCGAUGGUUCAAAUUUGGUAUUGAUAACUCCAAUAGAAACGACAGGAGGGCGUGCCAAAAAAAUGCUGGAAGUAAAAAAAAAAACAGAAAAAACAUCACGUAGGGAAAAGACCUUAAAAACAAUAAGGUCUUUCCUCUCCUCGCCUAGAGGAAAGACCUUGAUUAUAAUUCAUGUCAGCAUGAGUCCUGACUACUGGGCUGGUAUCACCCUCGCAUAGGAAACCUCUACAUGUAGUAGCAUUGUCCAGUGAUCCAAC